GACGAACCGUGCAACCGUUGUUCGGAAUCACUGGGCUUAAAGGGCGCGUAGGCGGGCGAGCAAGUCCGGGGUGAAAUCUUUCGGCUUAACCGGAAAAGUGCCUUGGAUACUGCUUGUCUGGAGGAAGGUAGGGGCAGGUGGAACUUCUGGUGGAGCGGUGAAAUGCGUUGAUAUCAGAAGGAACGCCGGUGGCGAAAGCGACCUGCUGGACCUUUUCUGACGCUGAGGCGCGAAAGCUAGGGGAGCAAACGGG
rnacentral:rRNA from 1 species